rnacentral:ncRNA from 1 species
GUCUUCGGGGCGGGGUGAAAUUCCCCACCGGCAGUAAUAGUCUGCGAGCCUGUUUCAGGUUGAGCCGAUGUAAUUCCGGCACCGACAGUCAUAGUCUGGAUGGUAGAGGACA